rnacentral:rRNA from 1 species
GACGAACGCUGGCGGCGUGCUUAACACAUGCAAGUCGAACGAUGAAGCCCAGCUUGCUGGGUGGAUUAGUGGCGAACGGGUGAGUAACACGUGGGCAACCUGCCCCAAACUCUGGGAUAACUCCUCGAAAGAGGUGCUAAUACCGGAUACGAACUAGACAGACAUCUGUACUAGUUGGAAAGUUUUUCGGUUUGGGAUGGGCCCGCGGCCUAUCAGCUUGUUGGUGAGGUAACGGCUCACCAAGGCUACGACGGGUAACCGGCCUGAGAGGGCGACCGGUCACACUGGGACUGAGACACGGCCCAGACUCCUACGGGGGGCAGCAGUGGGGAAUAUUGCGCAAUGGGCGAAAGCCUGACGCAGCGACGCCGCGUGAGGGAUGAAGGUCUUCGGAUCGUAAACCUCUUUCAGUAGGGACGAAGCGAAAGUGACGGUACCUAAAGAAGAAGCACCGGCUAACUACGUGCCAGCAGCCGCCGCAG